GCUUUCCAAAGCAAAACACAUAAAAGUCAGUUCACCGUGUGACAAAACUCAUACUUUAUUCUAAGACUUUUAUUUUCAAGAAAAACCCACCACUCCCCUCAUUUCUACCGCCAAUCAGAGUGAUCCUUCGAGCGGCAUGGAUCCAUCUCCUCCUCCGACAAUCAGCGGUGUUGUCCAAAACAAAAGAUCUUCGACUGGAGCCCAAAAUCUCAAAGCAGAUAAUGCCCAAAACGAACAAGAAACCUCUUCUCCUGGUGAAGAUGCUAAAAG
rnacentral:lncRNA from 1 species